AGUGAACGCUGGCGGUAGGCCUAACACAUGCAAGUCGAACGGCAGCACAGUAAGAGCUUGCUCUUACGGGUGGCGAGUGGCGGACGGGUGAGGAAUACAUCGGAAUCUACUUUUUCGUGGGGGAUAACGUAGGGAAACUUACGCUAAUACCGCAUACGACCUACGGGUGAAAGCAGGGGAUCUUCGGACCUUGCGCGAUUGAAUGAGCCGAGGUCGGAUUAGCUAGUUGGCGGGGUAAAGGCCCACCAAGGCGACGAUCCGUAGCUGGUCUGAGAGGAUGAUCAGCCACACUGGAACUGAGACACGGUCCAGACUCCUACGGGAGGCAGCAGUGGGGAAUAUUGGACAAUGGGCGCAAGCCUGAUCCAGCAAUACCGCGUGGGUGAAGAAGGCCUUCGGGUUGUAAAGCCCUUUUGUUGGGAAAGAAAAGCAGCAGGUUAAUACCCCGCUGUUCUGACGGUACCCAAAGAAUAAGCACCGGCUAACUUCGUG
rnacentral:rRNA from 1 species